rnacentral:tRNA from 1 species
GGGCUGGGGUUCAGCGGUAGCACACUUGCCUGGCAUGCAUGAGGCACUGGGUUCGAUUCUCAGCACCACA